rnacentral:tRNA from 1 species
CAGACAGAAGCCCGCUGGCUUGGGUGUUUAGCUGUUAACUAAUUUUUUGUGGGAUCAAGGCCCGCCUGUCUAG